rnacentral:tRNA from 1 species
GGAGGGUGACGCGCUAAGGAGCGCAACUAGUCUCGAAAACUAGGACGUACACCGAAAGGUGCGGGGUUCGACUCCUCCGCCCUCCGCCA